CACUAGCACGGCGAAUACAAGACCUUUUUUUUGUGACACUAUCAAUGGGUUCGAGUUGACUAUUCGGUUUCCGUCUCUGAGCCGAUUCUAGCGACUUGCUUGAUCCGCAAUAAAUCUCCCAAAAUGCUAAUUAACAUUUUU
rnacentral:sRNA from 1 species